GUAGCCGGCCUGAGAGGGUGANCGGCCACAUUGGGACUGANAUACGGCCCAGACUCCUACGGGAGGCAGCAGUGGGGAAUAUUGCACAAUGGGCGGAAGCCUGAUGCAGCGACGCCGCGUGAGGGAUGACGGCCUUCGGGUUGUAAACCUCUUUCANCAGGGACGAAGCGUAAGUGACNGUACCUGCAGAAGAAGCACCGGCUAACUACGUGCCAGCAGCCGCGGUAAUACNUAGGGUGCGAGCGUUGUCCGGAAUUACUGGGCGUAAAGAGNUCGUANGCGGUUUGUCNCGUCGUCUGUGAAAUCCUAGGGCUUAACCCUGGACGUGCAGGCGAUACNGGCUGACUUGAGUACUACAGGGG
rnacentral:rRNA from 1 species